AUGUAGCUAGUUGCUCUUUUCGAGAGCAUAAACAAGGGAAAACUAUGGAAGGACAUCAAACACAAAUUCGAGUAAUGGAGUGAAACUACACAAAUAUUAUCAGGAUUUAAUUUAUUAGAUAAUUGUUAAUUUUACUUGAUUAAAUUGAUUAUGUCAAGUUA